UACGUAGGGUGCAAGCGUUGUCCGGAAUUAUUGGGCGUAAAGAGCUCGUAGGCGGUUUGUUGCGUCGGCUGUGAAAUCCCGAGGCUCAACCUCGGGUCUGCAGUCGAUACGAGCAAACUAGAGUGUUGCAGGGGAGACUGGAAUUCCUGGUGUAGCGGUGAAAUGCGUAGAUAUCUGGAGGAACACCGGUGGCGAAGGCGGCAUCCUGGACCGGUAUUGACGCUGAGGCGCGAAAGCCAGGGGAGCAAACGGG
rnacentral:rRNA from 1 species